rnacentral:rRNA from 1 species
CUAGAACGCGCCCCAGGCGCACCCAGAAACCCUUUGUGAA